UAGCGUAGGGUGCGAGCGUUAAUCGGAAUUACUGGGCGUAAAGCGUGCGCAGGCGGUUUUGUAAGUCAGAUGUGAAAUCCCCGGGCUCAACCUGGGGAACUGCGUUUGAAACUACAAGGCUAGAGUGUAGCAGAGGGGGGGUAGAAUUCCACGUGUAGGCAGUGAAAAUGCGUAGAGAUGUGGAGGAAUACCAAUGGCGAAGGCAGCCCCCUGGGUAACACUGACGCUCAUGCACGAAAGCGUGGGGAGCAAACAGG
rnacentral:rRNA from 1 species